ACGUAGGGGGCAAGCGUUGUCCGGAUUUACUGGGUGUAAAGGGUGCUCAGGUGGAUUUAUAAGUCAGAGGUGAAAAUCCGAAGCUUAACUUCGGAACUGCCUUUGAUACUGUAAGUCUAGAGUUUGAGAGAGGGCAAUGGAAUAUCUGGUGUAGCAGUGAAAUGCGUAGAUAUCAGAUAGAACACCAAUGGCGAAGGCAGUUGCCUGGCUCAAUACUGACACUAAAGCACGAAAGUGUGGGGAGCAAACAGG
rnacentral:rRNA from 1 species